ACAAAUUAAAUUCGGCUGACUAGACGAUUUAUGACGAUUACCUUCGAACUUUCCGUAGUCAGAUAUUUGAAAUAAUUAGAAAUGGACAAAUAUAACUUAGACAUAAUUAAACUGUGGAUAUUAAAAGUUAAUUUGCAAUUCACAGCCUGCAAUGUUUUUAAAUACACAUCGUAUUAUGAGCGGGACCUUGAUACCAUGAUCCAACAUCAUGCCAUGACAGUGAUGCCAGGGUUGGCACCCUGUGCUACUGCGCUUGCGUUAGGGACGCGGUUUGGUUAGCCGUGAUUGGCGCGCAACUCAAAAUUAAUUUAGAAAACUAUUUUUGUAAUUUAAAUAAAUAAUUAUUGAAAAAA